AAUAUUGCACAAUGGGGGAAACCCUGAUGCAGCGACGCCGCGUGAGCGAAGAAGGCCUUCGGGCCGUAAAGCCCUGUCCUAUGGGAAGAAACGGACGGUACCUUAGGAGGAAGCCCCGGCUCACUAUGUGCCAGCAGCCGCGGUAAUACGUAGGGGGCGAGCGUUAUCCGGAAUUAUUGGGCGGACAGGGUGCGUAGGCGGCCUUUUAAGUCAGAUGUGAAAGGCUACGGCUUAACCGUAGUUAGCAUUUGAAACUAAAAGGCUUGAGUGCAGGAGAGGGGAGUGGAAUUCCUAGUGUAGCGGUGAAAUGCGUAGAUAGUGGGAGGAACACCAGUGGCGAAGGCGACUGCCUGGACGAUAACUGACGCUGAGGCACGAAAGCUAGGGGAGCAAACA
rnacentral:rRNA from 1 species